UACGGGGGGGGCAAGCGUUGUUCGGAAUUACUGGGCGUAAAGGGCGCGUAGGCGGUCUACUAAGUUGGAUGUGAAAACUCUGGGCUUAACCCAGAGCCUGCAUUCAAAACUGAUAGGCUAGAGUUCUGGAGGGGAUAGCGGAAUUCCUGGUGUAGCGGUGAAAUGCGUAGAUAUCAGGAGGAACACCGGUGGCGAAGGCGGCUAUCUGGACAGAAACUGACGCUGAGGCGCGAAAGCUAGGGGAGCAAACAGG
rnacentral:rRNA from 1 species